rnacentral:sRNA from 1 species
UACAGUAUCAAAAGGUCUUGAGCCCACUUGUGCUUGCACAAUAGUGGGACAAUGACCUUGGAACACGCCCCAAAAUUGGAGCAUAAUGCGAAUAUUGGGGCGGAUUGUGGGAGUGCGAAGCACGUAACAAUCCGUGUA